rnacentral:rRNA from 1 species
AGAGUUUGAUCCUGGCUCAGGACGAACGCUGGCGGCGUGCUUAACACAUGCAAGUCGAACGGAAAGGCCCUUCGGGGUACUCGAGUGGCGAACGGGUGAGUAACACGUGGGUGAUCUGCCCUGCACUUUGGGAUAAGCCUGGGAAACUGGGUCUAAUACCGAAUAUGACCAUGCGCCUCCUGGUGUGUGGUGGAAAGCUUUUGCGGUGUGGGAUGGGCCCGCGGCCUAUCAGCUUGUUGGUGGGGUAAUGGCCUACCAAGGCGACGACGGGUAGCCGGCCUGAGAGGGUGACCGGCCACACUGGGACUGAGAUACGGCCCAGACUCCUACGGGAGGCAGCAGUGGGGAAUAUUGUACAAUGGGCGCAAGCCUGAUGCAGCGACGCCGCGUGAGGGAUGACGGCCUUCGGGUUGUAAACCUCUUUCAGCACAGACGAAGCGCAAGUGACGGUAUGUGCAGAAGAAGGACCGGCCAACUACGUGCCAGCAGCCGCGGUAAUACGUAGGGUCCGAGCGUUGUCCGGAAUUACUGGGCGUAAAGAGCUCGUAGGUGGUUUGUCGCGUUGUUCGUGAAAACUCACAGCUUAACUGUGGGCGUGCGGGCGAUACGGGCAGACUUGAGUACUGCAGGGGAGACUGGAAUUCCUGGUGUAGCGGUGGAAUGCGCAGAUAUCAGGAGGAACACCGGUGGCGAAGGCGGGUCUCUGGGCAGUAACUGACGCUGAGGAGCGAAAGCGUGGGGAGCGAACAGGAUUAGAUACCCUGGUAGUCC